rnacentral:lncRNA from 1 species
CUCAACUUUUCUUUAAUAAUUACUCUGCCAUGUGUCAUACGUUUGCUGGUAAGUACUACUAGCUCUUAAUGGAUACUGUACUAUUCAAUAAUUUCUUGUAUCGGAGCAUCUAUAUUUUAUGGGAUUUGGAUCCUUGCCGGAUCCCUGGGUGACACACCCCGUCCCGAAGGAGGGCAUGCUGGCCGUCACGAGAGUGACGUAACCAUUUGCACAGUACGGAAGCUUUAAGAUACAAUUUAAAUUGAUACACCCGAAGGUGAGUCCUAAUUUUGUCCAAUCUGUCAGAACACCGUCGAAUUCCUCGUAGUCACCACACCUUUGUGAUUCCUGAACCUGGAGGGGCGCAAAACCAAAAUUGAGUGGGUCAGUAAAACAAUUCUUUUCCAAAUCCAAACAUUUCUCAAAACGUUGUAACCCCUCUCCGUAAAACCUGUACUUUCCAGAAAUGUAAAAUAUAAAUAUACAUAUAUAUUCUCAAAACUUCAUUUUUACUAUCUCAACAUUAUCUCUUUAUCAAUCAUGCCAUGCCAUGUCAUCUCAACAUUUCUCAUAUUAAUUAUGCCAUGCCAUCAUCAUCUCAACAACAGUAAUAAGGUAUGAAUGCAUCAAUAUAAUCAUAUCAGGUGCAAGAAAGUAAUCAACCGUAGCCCUCUAAUAGCCCUAUACGGUUGAACCUAGAGCUCAAAAUCUAUCAUUAUCACUCUCACCCUACACCUACCGGAGUCACCUCUGACCCGUCCGGCCUUCUGCACACAAGUUACGCUCUAGUGCUUCUCAUAAAUAAAUCAUCUGUGCACAUAAUCUAAGGUCACCCACCAGUCGGAAUCUCACUAAACACUCUCGCGACUGGUCUGUCGUACCCACUCCGCGUGGACUGUACGACUAGCAUCUACUUGGAUCCAAGGCGAGCGUGCGAUGCGGUGAAUACUAUAAGCACUAAACCAUGGUGCAGGAUUUGAGCUCAAUAUAUAUCAUCAUCAUCAUAACAGUAAUUAAAUACUCACUUGUGCGUCCACCGCACCAAUUCAUACAUAUGCAUCAUAUAUUAAUUCAUGCAUGGCAUUUCAACUCACAUUUCUAUAUACUUUUCAUAUCAAUUCUAUGCAUGGUAUUUCACUUCCCGUUUUUCCACAUAACUCAUAUGCAUUUCAUUUUAAAACAUAAUUUCAUGGCAUUUUCAAUUUCUGGGGAAAACGUUAAGUAUAUAUAUAUAUAUAUACAGAAAAAACAAAACUGCCCACUCACCUGGAGUUCGCCCUACAACUCCCUAGCACAAUACGCCAAGGCGUCAUGACGAUCGGCGCCUAAAACAAUAAUCAAUUCCAACCUCAGAAUUCAUAUCGAUAGAAUAUAUAACUUAUAUAAAAUACGUCACUACGUAGAUUGAUCCGGAAGAUCCACCCCUCAGAUUUUAAAUCCAUAACUUCCAGAGGUCCACAUUAUACCUCUAGGACAACAUCCUAAAAUUUCAUUACCAUCCAACGGUCGGAUCUCCGUCAAUUUCCAAAACUAAGUGACGGUUAACAUUUUAUAUUAUGGACUUACAAUUCCAAUUCCGGAAGAUCCGUAACUCGGAUUCCCAAUCCGUAAGUUCCAAUAAUCCUCAAAUAUUACGUAUUACAACGUAUCAAAGUUUGGUGACGAUCCAACGGUCGGAUCAUCAAUUCACAUUUUCACCUAAAUGUGAAAACUAUAAAACGUUAUUUGAACACCUAACCAACAAUCUUCAAUAACUUUCUCAUACGGUGUUCAAUUUAGGUAUAUGAAUAUACCACAGUGAUCUACUCGACGUCACGGACGUCGACAUAUUUUUAAAAUAAUUUUAUUUUUUAUUUUUAUUUUUACUGUAGCACCUUCUUCUUCCUUGGGUCGCCGGACUGGUUUUUCCGGCGGCCGUUUUCUGGGCAGUUUUUCAAAUUGCCAUAACUUUGUCAUUUCUCAACGAAAUCAAGUGAUUCAAAAACGAAAGUUGUAGCCCUUGAAGAGACAAAGAGAAUGGUACCUUUCCCAACACCUAGUUCGCCGUGGUUUGGCCGGAAACUGCCUCGAAAGCCUCGGAGGUCGCCGGAAACUGGGUAUUUUUCAAAUGAGUAUAACUUCUUCAAUACUCAACGAAAUUGAGUGAAACAAAAAGGAAAGUUGUAGUACUUGACGAGACGAAGAGAUUGAUACCUACCUAAACUCCUAACUCGCCGGGGAUUCGCCGGAAAACGCCUCGAAAGCUCCGGCCAAACUUUGAACUUAUCGAUCUCCGUGUUCUUACGUCAAAAAACUUCCAACGAAGCACUCCGAGCUUCCUUGGAACCUCACUAAGCUCACUGUGAGCUUGGAUUGUCCUAAAACAAAGUCAAUUCGAAGAUCAUGAACAGUGCACUUUCACGAGGAGUUUAGAAUCUAGGUUUUCCGAAGUAAAACUUACCUGAAAUUGGUGUCUACGUGAUCGUGGAGUCUCCAGGAGUUCGAUGGUGGUCUUAACUCCGUCGUUGGUGGAAGUUUAAGGUUGUUUUGUGGUUGGUUUGUUCGAGCGGAGAAGAAGAGUGACAGAGAGAGAGAGAUUCGUGAGGGAGGAGAGAGAGAGACAGUAUGCAGAAAAUAGGGAGAGGAUUGAGGGGUGUGGGGAUCCCACGUGUCCAACUCAAUCCAAAUUGUUAAAUUUUCGCCCCUUAGUCCCGUUUAAGGGCAUUUUCAUCUUUUCAUGUCCUCGGAAUUAAAAUUCCGGGACGGGCUGUGACAAUCUUCCCUCCUUAUAGAAUUUCGUCCCCGAAAUUCCAGCAACCAACUAAAUCAACCAUACUCCAACAAUAGCUUCGGGUAAAUCUUUCUCAUCCGAUUCUCUUUCUCCCACAUACUUUUCUACUGAAUGAUUUCCUUCACAAAGCUUUUACUACUUACUCUGUCUUAAUUCUCAGGACCUUCUUUUUCCAAUCCAAAGUCGUCAUUGAUUCCUUAUCAAGUCGAAUCCAAUUUAAUUCUCAAUAGUUACACCAGAAUCUCAUGUGACGAAUCUGCCACCUAGUGACAACGCAUCGAAUCAUAAAAUAUGUUUUGCACCUUAACCAACUCUGAGGGCAUCACAAGCUUGUAAGCAACUUCACCAACUUUUCGAUAAUCACUUAAGUCCGAUUAACUUAGGAUUUAACUUACCUUCUUUCUCUACCUUGGUUAAUUCUUAAAUUUCUUCGUCAAGCAUUUAAGUUUCAAGUACGACCUUACCAAACAGGCCUAACUUGAAAUUUAACAAGUAUAACUUCUUCUCGAUCUUCCAUUCUUAAUUUUUCUUCCGUUGGUUUUCAAUCCACAAGAUGAUACUCUUGGCAAACGUGCCAGACAUUAAUCUUACUGUAGUCUUCUCACCAAGUGCUUCAGUUAGAACAAACUUUACGAUCACCCUGAUCGUACAAUCAUGUUCAUUAAGCAAUACAAUUCACUUUCGCUGCCUCAUAUCAAAAUCCUUCCAAGUAAUGGAUAUUGAAGACUUUUUGGAUUCGUAAAAAUCUUGCAUUCUUACCAAAUAUAAUGCCUUCAUAACUUCACAGCAAGAAUGGUAAUCAUGAUUUCUAAGUCACCCGUAGGGUAAUUCAUCUUAUGAGAUUCCAUUUAUCGUGAAACGUAUGCAAUCACCCUAACAUUUGCAUCAACAUGCAUCCAAUACCAUUCAAGAAACAUCACUAAAAAUUUAUGAUUACCACUAUUCUCUGGGAAUACCAAAAUACGUGCAUGAGUGAGGAAAUACUUCAGUUGUUGAAUCCUUUGCUCACAAUUUCCUUCCCACUCAUACAUAACCUCUUUUCUCAACAGUCUCGUCAAUGACAAAGCAAUGACUGAAAAAUCUUUCACAACCAUCCAAGAUAGCCUGGUAAGCUAAGAAAUUCUGAAUCUCAAUUACAGCUCGUGGUUGUUCCAAUUACUCAAUUUCUGCUAUCUUUUAAGGAUUCACUUGAAUACCUUAAGAAUAUAUAACAAAUCUCAGAAUGCCACCUGAUUCGUCUAACUUUAGCAUUUGCUACUUAGCAUACAACCAACGUUCUCUCAAUCUUUGGUUCACCGACUUAAUACGUUUACAUGCUCUGCUCUGGCUCAGAAUAUGCCAGAAUAUCUUCAAUAAAAAUGAUAUCAAUCUAUCAAGGCAUUAUUGGAAUACUUCAUCCAUCAACUCAUAAAACAGCAUGAGUAUCCAUAUAGCAUCACCAAACUUCAUAAAGACUAUAACGAGUCCAGAAAACCAUCUUAUGAUCAACGUCACUUAUAAUAUCAAUUGGUAGUAACCAGAUCUCAAUUCAAUCUUUGAAUCUUCGCAAUUACUUCUGAGCUGGUUAAAUAAACAUCAGUACAUCACCAUGGGUAACGGUUCUCAAUCGUUACCCGACUCCAUUGUCUAUAAUCAAUGAACAGUCUCAAGAUCCAUUUUCUUCCUCACCAACAAACUGGGGCUCCUCAAAAGUGUUGUACUAGGUUGAAUGAAACUUUUAUCAACCAAUUCUUUCAACUGAAUUUCCAAUUCCCAUAACUCAUCCUGAACCAAUCUCCAAUAUAAAUUUAUACCUGGCAACAAAUCAAUAAUGAACCUCAUAUCUCUGCCUGAAGGCAAUCCAGGUAUACUUUCAAGGAAGACAUCAAGAAAAGUCUAACCCCUUUUGACAUUAUUCACACUACUCCAAACAACAUCAUUUAGCACCACACGAGCUAAUAUUUUUGACAGCCUUUCGAAAACAAUCUCUUUGCUCUCACAGCAUAAAUAACGGCCUGACUCAAUCCACUUUGCAUACUUACAAAAGUAAUCUCUGGUCAUCCAGAUCGAUGGAAAGUACUGGUUUCCCUUAACAUUCCGUCUUGUCACAAUUAUAACCAACCAAUCUAAUGGAAUAAUUUAACCGACACAAUACAUACUCUAUUACUACUAAGCAUUCUGAAUAAGUACAAUACUAACAUAAAAUAAUCUACCGGUUUGCUUGCUUAACGAAUCCACGAAUGAGUUAUUAAUAUUACGGUCUGCAGCCCGCAAUACUGAUAAAUCAUCGUUGUCUCGAUAAGUAGGCAACCACUCUCAAAGAUAUAACAUUACUAUUUUGUCACUCAAUGCAAAAUACAUACACUCGUCUCAACUACAUUUAUUUACUACUCUCUAGGUAAUAACAUACAUAAUAAGAAAUAUAUCAGCCGAAGUCAACUAGAAUGAUCAAUACGGCUGAUUCAACUCUUAUCUCAAUAAUACGUCGGCCGGAUCCACUCCGCGUGGUCGGUACGGCCGAGCCUAUAACUCACCAAUUUCUCAUGUGUCAGUCGAAUCCACCUCUCGUGGCCUGUACGGCUGAACAUAUAACUCAUCAAAUCUCUCUGUACUCACGGUCAAUCCGACCAAACUACUAAGUCCAUAACUCUGCUGAAUCGACACUAUGAUAUCAUGGAAAAUUGUUGAGUACAACUGAUUCUAGGGGCAAUUCACAAUUCUGCGUCCCCUCUGUUCACAUAAACACAUUCAUUAAUUUCACACUUCCCAAAGUGUUAAUUUUGUACCUGCUGCACAAGGUACAUUUCCUUUACUCGAGACACCUUGUCUCAAAUAUCUGGAUGGAACGAGGCAAGUCUGAAAACUUUCUAUAAUAUUCAUUUAUCAUCAACUUCCUUGAUUCACAUUUGUAAACUCUUGCUUACUACCAUCGAUAAAUGCCGGAGGGAUAAACUUUUCCUUAAACAAGUCCUUAAAUAAUUCUCAAUCAGCUGUUUCCUCCGGUGACAACAAUUAACAAUCCUGUUUCCACCAGGAUACAAAUUCAUACCCAAAACCAGGUAGUCGUCUCGACCCCUUGUCAGAAGGAAAUUUCCUUUAACUUGCAUAAUCCGAAACAUCUUUUCCAAAUGGUUAAACCGUUACUUCGCUCCCUCAGGUUCAUCAUUUCUCUUAAGUGAUUCAAAUUCAACUCAUAACCCAUCUUAAAAUGUCCCUUUUUAUAAUAGACUGAAUCACCAUAAUAAUAGUUUCCCCUAAACCGUUAUAUUAGGGAGACUAAAUUCCUCUAACUAAGUGGCUUGCUACGAGGCGGUGUAGUUCUGACAGAAUUCACUAGAACUUCUCAAAAUGUCCAAGAUUGCAACCAUGCUCUGAUACCAACUGACACACCCCGUCCCGAAGGAGGGCAUGCUGGCCGUCACGUGAGAGUGACGUAACCAUUUGCACAGUACGGAAGCUUUAAGAUACAAUUUAAAUUGAUACACCCGAAGGUGAGUCCUAAUUUUGUCCAAUCUGUCAGAACACCGUCGAAUUCCUCGUAGUCACCACACCUUUGUGAUUCCUGAACCUGGAGGGGCGCAAAACCAAAAUUGAGUGGGUCAGUAAAACAAUUCUUUUCCAAAUCCAAACAUUUCUCAAAACGUUGUAACCCCUCUCCGUAAAACCUGUAUACUUUCCCAGAAAUGUAAAAUAUAAAUAUACAUAUAUAUUCUCAAAACUUCAUUUUUACUAUCUCAACAUUAUCUCUUUAUCAAUCAUGCCAUGCCAUGUCAUCUCAACAUUUCUCAUAUAUUAAUUAUGCCAUGCCACAUCAUCUCAACAGUAAUAAGGUAUGAAUGCAUCAAUAUAAUCAUAUCAGGUGCAAGAAAGUAAUCAACCGUAGGCCCUCUAAUAGCCCUAUACGGUUGAACCUAGAGCUCAAAAUCUAUCAUUAUCACUCUACCGGAGUCACCUCUGUGACCCGUCCGGCCUUCUGCACACAAGUUACGCUCUAGUGCUUCUCAUAAAUCAUCUGUGCACAUAAUCUAAGGUCACCCACCAGUCGGAAUCUCACUAACACUCUCGCGACUGGUCUGUCGUACCCACUCCGCGUGGACUGUACGACUAGCAUCUACUUGGAUCCAAGGCGAGCGUGCGAUGCGGUGAAUACUAUAAGCACUAAACCAUGGUGCAGGAUUUGAGCUCAAUAUAUAUCAUCAUCAUCAUAACAGUAAUUAAAUACUCACUUAUGCGUCCACCGCACCAAUUCAUACAUAUGCAUCAUAUAUUAAUUCAUGCAUGGCAUUUCAACUCACAUUUCUAUAUACUUUUCAUAUCAAUUCUAUGCAUGGUAUUUCACUUCCCGUUUUUCCACAUAACUCAUAUGCAUUUCAUUUUAAACAUAAUUUCAUGCAUUUUCAAUUUCUGGGAAAACGUUAAGUAUAUAUAUAUAUAUACAGAAAACAAAACUGCCCACUCACCUGGAGUUCGCCCUACAACUCCCUAGCACAAUACGCCAAGGCGUCAUGACGAUCGGCGCCUAAAACAAUAAUCAAUUCCAACCUCAGAAUUCAUAUCGAUAGAAUAUAUAACUUAUAUAAAAUACGUCACUACGUAGAUUGAUCCGGAAGAUCCACCCCUCAGAUUUUAAAUCCAUAACUUCCAGAGGUCCACAUUAUACCUCUAGGACAACAUCCUAAAAUUUCAUUACCAUCCAACGGUCGGAUCUCCGUCAAUUUCCAAAACUAAGUGACGGUUAACAUUUUAUAUUAUGGACUUACAAUUCCAAUUCCGGAAGAUCCGUAACUCGGAUUCCCAAUCCGUAAGUUCCAAUAAUCCUCAAAUAUUACGUAUUACAACGUAUCAAAGUUUGGUGACGAUCCAACGGUCGGAUCAUCAAUUCACAUUUUCACCUAAAUGUGAAAACUAUAAAACGUUAUUUGAACACCUAACCAACAAUCUUCAAUAACUUUCUCAUACGGUGUUCAAUUUAGGUAUAUGAAUAUACCACAGUGAUCUACUCGACGUCACGGACGUCGACAUAUUUUUAAAAUAAUUUUAUUUUUAUUUUUUAUUUUUACUGUAGCACCUUCUUCUUCCUUGGGUCGCCGGACUGGUUUUUCCGGCGGCCGUUUUCUGGGCAGUUUUUUCAAAUUGCCAUAACUUUGUCAUUUCUCAACGAAAUCAAGUGAUUCAAAAAACGAAAGUUGUAGCCCUUGAAGAGACAAAGAGAAUGGUACCUUUCCCAACACCUAGUUCGCCGUGGUUUGGCCGGAAACUGCCUCGAAAGCCUCGGAGGUCGCCGGAAACUGGGUAUUUUUCAAAUGAGUAUAACUUCUUCAAUACUCAACGAAAUUGAGUGAAACAAAAAGGAAAGUUGUAGUACUUGACGAGACGAAGAGAUUGAUACCUACCUAAACUCCUAACUCGCCGGGGAUUCGCCGGAAAACGCCUCGAAAGCUCCGGCCAAACUUUU